rnacentral:misc_RNA from 1 species
UACGAAGGGCCCGAGCGUUGCGCGGAAUCACUGGGCUUAAAGGGUGUGUAGGCGGAAACGUAAGUAUCUUGUGAAAGCCCACGGCUCAACCGUGGAAUUGCAGGGUAUACUGCGUUUCUUGAGGUCGGUAGGGGCUGUCGGAACUAUAGGUGUAGCGGUGAAAUGCGUAGAUAUCUAUAGGAACACCAAAGACGAAGGUAGGCAGCUGGGCCGAUUCUGACGCUGAGGCACGAAAGCGUGGGGAGCAAACAGG